ACCAAAUGGUGUUCAAGAAAAAACAUCCAAUAAAAAAAUCAAACAACUUCAUGAAACAGCUAAAAAAAGGUUUAUGAAAAACCUGGAAAGAUUAUUGAAUGUAACAUUUGUCACCUACGACAUAUAAUUAAUGGGCUCGACCCUAUAUCUGCGAGAAGGUAAAAUAUCACAUAAUCAUAUUUGUAACCCUCUUGCAUAAUAAACCUAAUUUGAAGCAUAAAUAAAAUAAUGUGUAUUUAAAUAAAAUUAUACAUGGCUAUUUAUGACAACCUUCACCUGGAGGAUCCUAGCACACCCAUCAGCGAGAAUGGUCUUACCUUCGCUCCAAAAACGUUAGUAUUCGUUCAAAG